GCGGGACUUUGGAUCCCGUAUUCGGAGGUUCGAAUCCUCCCGCCCCAA
rnacentral:tRNA from 1 species